ACCGUGGUAAGAGCUUCAAAAAAAUUUAACUGUGAAAAUUGAAUUUAUUUGAAUUCCCACCUCUCAAUCAUGAUAGAUCUAUACUCUUUCUUUCAUAUAAACAGAUCCAAAGGGAUCCUAGAGAACGAACUCCUCAAAAGAAAAAACUUCUAUAAUUCAAGACUCUCAUAAUGAGAGGCUUUCAAGUCCUCAUCUAUCAUUUUACUCUUUUUUCUUG
rnacentral:lncRNA from 1 species